GCGGGAGAGUAAAGUGGCGAACGGGUGAGUAAUACAAGGGUAAUCUGCCCUUAAAUUAGGGAUAACCUUGCGAAAGCGAAGCUAAUACCUGAUAAGACUACGACCUCUUAGGAGGAUGUAGGAAAAGAUGGCCUCUGUUUCAAGCUAUCGAUUAAGGAUGAGCCCUUGCACUAUUAGCUUGUUGGUGGGGUAACGGCCUACCAAGGCGACGAUGGUUAGCUGGUCUGAGAGGAUGACCAGCCACACUGGAACUGAGACACGGUCCAGACUCCUACGGGAGGCAGCAGUGAGGAAUAUUGCGCAAUGGGGGAAACCCUGACGCAGUGACGCCGCGUGAGUGAUGAAGGCUUUCGAGUCGUAAAGCUCUGUUAGGUGGAAAGAAACAUUCCAACGCUAAUAUCGUUGGAACUUGACGGUACCACCAGAGGAAGCACCGGCUAACUCCGUGCCAGCAGCCGCGGUAAUACGGAGGGUGCAAGCGUUGUUCGGAAUUACUGGGCGUAAAGGGCGUGUAGGCGGUUAGGCAAGUCAGGUGUGAAAUCCCUUGGCUCAACCAAGGAAGUGCGCUUGAAACUGCUUAACUCGAGUACAGGAGGGGAAAGUGGAAUUCCCAGUGUAGAGGUGAAAUUCAUAGAUAUUGGGAGGAACACCGGUAGCGAAGGCGGCUUUCUGGCCUGAUACUGACGCUGAGACGCGAAAGCGUGGGGAGCAAACAGGAUUAGAUACCCUGGUAGUCCACGCCGUAAACGAUGGGCACUAGGUGUAGGAAGUGU
rnacentral:rRNA from 1 species